rnacentral:rRNA from 1 species
AGGUUAAGCUAGAAAGGGCGCACGGUGGAUGCCUUGGCACUAGGAGCCGAAGAAGGACGGGACUAACACCGAUAUGUCUCGGGGAGUCGUAAGUAGACAUGGAUCCGGGAAUUUCCGAAUGGGGGAACCCACUGUUCGUAAUGGGACAGGAUCCAUGCCUGAAUCCAUAGGGCAUGGAGGGCACACCCGGGGAACUGAAACAUCUUAGUACCCGGAGGAGAAGAAAGCAAAUGCGAUUCCCUGAGUAGCGGCGAGCGAAACGGGAACAGCCCAAACCAAGAGGCGUGCCUCUUGGGGUUGUAGGACCGCUCAGAUGGGAGUGAGAAAGGAACGGGGUAGACGAACCGGUCUGGAACGGCCGGCCAGAGAAGGUGACAGCCCUGUAGUCGAAACUUCGUUCCCUCCCGAGCGGCUCCUGAGUACGGCGGGACACGGGAAAUCCCGUCGGAAGCAGGGAGGACCAUCUCCCAAGGCUAAAUACUCCCUAGUGACCGAUAGUGAACCAGUACCGUGAGGGAAAGGUGAAAAGCACCCCGGAAGGGGAGUGAAAGAGAACCUGAAACCGUGUGCCUACAAGUAGUCAGAGCCCGUUCAUGGGUGAUGGCGUGCCUUUUGUAGAAUGAACCGGCGAGUGACGAUGGCGUGCGAGGUUAAGCCGAAGAGGCGGAGCCGCAGCGAAAGCGAGUCUGAAUAGGGCGUUUGAGUACGUCGUCGUCGACCCGAAACCAGGUGAUCUACCCAUGUCCAGGGUGAAGGCCGGGUAACACCGGCUGGAGGCCCGAACCCACGUACGUUGAAAAGUGCGGGGAUGAGGUGUGGGUAGGGGUGAAAUGCCAAUCGAACUUGGAGAUAGCUGGUUCUCCCCGAAAUAGCUUUAGGGCUAGCCUCAAGGUGAGAGUCUUGGAGGUAGAGCACUGAUUGGGCUAGGGGCCCUCAUCGGGUUACCGAACCCAGUCAAACUCCGAAUGCCAAUGACUUAUCCUUGGGAGUCAGACUACGAGUGAUAAGAUCCGUGGUCAAGAGGGAAACAGCCCAGAUCGCCAGCUAAGGCCCCCAAGUGCACGUUCAGUGGAAAAGGAUGUGGAGUUGCGAAGACAACCAGGAUGUUGGCUUAGAAGCAGCCACCAUUUAAAGAGUGCGUAAUAGCUCACUGGUCGAGUGACUCUGCG